CGCCAAAAUUUAAACCAGCCAAUCAGAGGUGACAAUUUAAUGCGUAGCCAGUGAGAGGGAGGUGGAGGCCAUCAACUGAAUUUGGGAAACGAAACAGACGAGUUGGAUGCGCACCGAAGACUGUCAGAAGAGUUAGACGAUAAACUAUUCUAGCUACCAUAUGGAAAUGGAAACACGUUUUAAGAGGAGAGCACGUGAUGACGACAUGGAUGCCACCGAACUGAAAGAAGAUUCCCCAACCCAAAUUGAGUCAAAUGAGGACCAGUCAGUGCAGGACCAGCCAGAAGAGACGGUCCCUAUUAGACCAAAGAAGGUCAAAAAGAACGUCAAAUAUUCCCCAAGGAAAUUAUGGUCACCAACAGGGGCAAUGGAGUUGAACAAACUUAAACAACAAACCAAGAUGGACAAACAGAAGAUUGAACACCUAGAGAGCAACAUUAAAAACCUGGAGGAGGCAAACAGGGAAUUGAAAAAUGAUAAGGACUUCCUAAUUGCCCAAAUUCAGGGAGCCCCCAAUGUCCAUGCCUCUACUAGCAAGUCAGGUACAAAGGCAAUACAAUUAACGUUAUUCAUGCAGUAUUAUAGUAUUGCGUCGUAUAAAUAUGUGCUACACUGGAAAAAGUCUUCUGUUGAACCAAGUAAAAAAAAUAUGGGUAAUGGUUCACAUCUAUAUUACAUAACUUGAGCCAAUGACAAAUAUAUAGCUUGCCUCAAACAAUAUUUCCUAUGUUCAUAAAAACAAAAUAAUACAA